UAAAAGUUUGAUUCUUUCUUAAAUCUUUACGGUUUUUAUUAAAAUUGUAUGGAAGCUGUUGCGUGUAAUUUUUUUUAUGGGAGUUUAAAAUUUCCUAUUUAGUUUUUUAUAAAGUAAUAAAUUUAUAAAGGAUAAAGUCCCAGCAUAUAGU
rnacentral:rRNA from 1 species